AGUGAACGCUGGCGGUAGGCCUAACACAUGCAAGUCGAACGGCAGCACAGUAAGAGCUUGCUCUUACGGGUGGCGAGUGGCGGACGGGUGAGGAAUACAUCGGAAUCUACUUUUUCGUGGGGGAUAACGUAGGGAAACUUACGCUAAUACCGCAUACGACCUACGGGUGAAAGCAGGGGAUCUUCGGACCUUGCGCGAUUGAAUGAGACGAUGUCGGAUUAGCUAGUUGGCGGGGUAAAGGCCCACCAAGGCGACGAUCCGUAGCUGGUCUGAGAGGAUGAUCAGCCACACUGGAACUGAGACACGGUCCAGACUCCUACGGGAGGCAGCAGUGGGGAAUAUUGGACGAUGGGCGCAAGCCUGAUCCAGCCAUACCGCGUGGGUGAAGAAGGCCUUCGGGUUGUAAAGCCCUUUUGUUGGGAAAGAAAAGCAGCAGGUUAAUACCCCGCUGUUCUGACGGUACCCAAAGAAUAAGCACCGGCUAACUUCGUG
rnacentral:rRNA from 1 species